rnacentral:rRNA from 1 species
UAACUAGGAUUAGAUACCCUAUUAUUAAAAAAUUAAAGAAAUAAUACUAAAAGAGUAAGUAAAAUUUUAUUGAAACUUAAAUAACUUGGCGGUAUUUUAGUUCAUUCAGAGGAAUCUGUUUAUUAAUUGAUAAUCCACGAAUAAAUUUACUUAAUUUAUUAUUUUGUAUAUCGUUGUUUAAAAAAUAUUUUUUAAUAAUUAAUAAUAUUUUAAAUUUUAAAUAAAAAAUUAAAUCAGAUCAAGAUGCAGAUUAUAAUUAAGAAUAUAAUGGAUUACAAUAAAUUUAUUUAUUAUGAAUUUUAAGUAGAAUAAUUUAAUUGAAAGUGGAUUUGAAUGUAAUUUUAUUUAAAUUAAUAAGAUGAUUUAUAAUUAAAAUAUGUACAUAU